GGAAGUCCUGAUCUUUGGUUUGGAGUGGAAGUGAAGUUCUAGACUUGUCUGAGUGGGCUGAAGUGCUGAUCAUUUGCUUUGACUCAUUUGUACUUUGCAAGAAAUCCGUGUUAUCUCAGCAAUUAAGGAGAAGAGCCAGCAUCUAGGGUUCCAGGCUGUGAGGGGAAGUAGCAACUUGUACCAGACAUGUCUUCUGUUGUAGAUUGAUACUCUGCCACUAAAUAAUGAACAAUAAAAAUAAUUGGGAGCCUUGAAUUGAACUGCUGGCAAUACAUACUUUCCAGAAUUACUUGCUGAAAGGCUGUUAGAAUACAGG